UCAGAAUGUAUGUAUGUAUGUCUCAUUCCACACCAGUAGGUGGCAGCACCGUCGUGCAGCCCUAUCGUCAGUUUCGGAAACCAAAGGAUUAUGGGUAUUUUCUCUUAUACAAAUCAACGUGACUCUUACGUUUUAAGUUACUUUUGCUUGGAAGGAACUUCGUGAGAGACGUGUCGCUUGAGCUCCUAAGAUCUAGCGAAUAUUUUCUCAUUUUUUGUAGCGUUUGAAGUUUUAAAAAAGACAUUUUGUCAGAAAAGGCUAUCCCUGCCAGUUUUUAAAUUUUUUUAGAUUCAGAAAACUUGCUGUACAGAAAGAACAAACAAAAACCGUCAAGUCACUCUUCCGGAAUCGACGGUUCUUUUCUCUACAGUUACUUUUUGGUUGGAUAUGUGUUUAGAAACAAUGGAUACCAGCUCGAAACACAAUAAACCCAACUGUAUGCUGCGUAAAACCGGGAAACCUGAUUCUAAGUUAAGGUGGAAGCUUCUCCGUGUGUCCACGGAGGUGGACGAGGCUCCCAGACCGUGCCACGCCACCGCUGUGAGGGCGACCAUCCGAAAAUACAUCCACCGUGAACAGAAGCGGGCACAGCUGGUCAAACUCGCCAAAGUCCUGGGAGACAUGGGCAAGAAAGAGAAACGGGAGUCCAUGUAUGAGGGAAGUCCGGCUGCGGCCUGCACGAACCGUCAUCCACCAGGGGCAAUGGCGCCGGAAAACACCACGCAAUACCUGAUGAGUAAUGUGUAUGAAGAUAUGAAGACAAACGACAUCCAGCCAGUUUCAGUUUCAAAUGAAACAUCUGCACAUCUGUAUGGGGAAUCCCUGUCCCCCAGUAGUGUGUAUACUGCCUUGGACUCCGGUUACGAAAGCUGUCUUGCUUUUCAGCAGAGGGACUUUGAGGAUAUGUUUGGCCUCUGUUGGUAACCGGGACGAACCGGUCUACGUGGCCUUGUGAAACUGGUCUGGCUUCCUUUCCAGCACUGACUUUCCCCAUAAGGACAAACAUAAAGCGGCGCACUGGACGCUACCCGCCCAGUAGGGAGCGCUCCUGAGCCUUGCGUAGCGCCGCCCAGAGGAACGAACCAAAGACAUCACAGCUCUGGCCUGGCCACGGAUUGUGAAAUCCAGGUAAACCCGGGCAGGUAUUAUGUUGCACUACAUUGUCAAUGUAGGCAAUAGUGGUAAAUUGUGAUGCGAUACAGGAAAGUGCUUUCCACAGUCACUGUUGUCUAAGCGUUUUCUAGGUCACUCCUGCCAGGACAUGUGGCUCGGCUGUGAGGGGAGCAGGAGACCAAGGAGGUCGGUCAUCACGUGACUGACAUAAGGUGACAUUCAAUAGUUAUAUCGACUGUUUCCAAGAAGAUCAAAGUCCAAAUAAGUGAUAAUCCUGUUUUGAAAUGUUUGUAUCACUUUAAUGUUAAAAUGAGUGUAUGAACUUGCAUUUAUUCUGUAAGAUUACAAAGUGAGUAUGAUGAUUAAAUGACUGUUCAGUAAAUGAGCAUUGUAACAUGUAAAACUGA